UUCCGGUUGAUCCUGCCGGAGGCUACCGCUAUUGGAGUUCGAUUAAGCCAUGCGAGUCGCGAGUCUUAGGGACUCGGCGUACCGCUCAGUAACACGUGGGUAACCUGCCCUAUGCUGGGGGAUAACCUCGGGAAACUGAGAAUAAUACCCCAUAGUUCACCACGCCUGGAACGGUGGGUGGAUGAAAGCUCCGGCGGCAUAGGAUGGGCCUGCGGCGUAUCAGGUUGUAGGGGGUGUAAUGUACCCUCUAGCCAUCUACGCGUACGGGUGUUGGGAGACAUCGCCCAGAGAUGGUUUCUGAGACACGAAACCAGGCCCUACGGGGCGCAGCAGGCGCGAAAACUUCGCAAUGCGGGAAACCGUGACGAGGGAACUCCAAGUGUCUAUGCAUUGCAUAGACUGUUUUUUAGCCUAAAUAGCUAUUAGAGUAAGGGGUGGGCAAGACCGGUGCCAGCCGCCGCGGUAACACCGGCACCUCGAGUGGUAGCCACUAUUAUUGGGCCUAAAGCGUUCGUAGCCGGUUUGGUAAAUUCUUGGGUAAAUCGUACCGCUUAACGGUGCGGAUUCCGGGGACACUACCAGACUUGAGACCGGGGGAGAUCAGAGGUACUUGCGGGGGAGCGGUGAAAUGUUGUAAUCCCGCAGGGACCACCAGUGGCGAAGGCGUCUGAUCAGAACGGCUCUGACGGUGAGGAACGAAACCCUGGGGCGCAAACGGGAUUAGAUACCCCGGUAGUCCAGGGCGUAACGCUGCUGACUUGGUGUUGGAGAUCCUACGAGGAUGUCCAGUGCUGGCGCGAAGGUAUUAAGUCAGCCGCCUGGGGAGUACGGUCGCAAGACUGAAACUUAAAGGAAUUGGCGGGGGAGCACUGCAACGUGUGGAGCGUGCGGUUUAAUUGGAUUCAACGCCGG
rnacentral:rRNA from 1 species